GGCUCGGUGGUGGAUGGUCCACAUCUGUGUUUCAUAAAUCUGUGCCCUAGCAGAUAUCAGCAGGGAAAGCCUGUUCGAAUCAGGCCCGAGCCG